AUUGAACGCUGGCGGCAGGCCUAACACAUGCAAGUCGAACGAAUGGCGGACGGGUGAGUAAUGUCUGGGAAACUGCCUGAUGGAGGGGGAUAACUACUGGAAACGGUAGCUAAUACCGCAUACCAUCAGAUGUGCCCAUAGGGGAUUAGGGUGUUGGUGGGGUAACGGCUCACCAAGGCGACGAUCCCUAGCUGGUCUGAGAGGAUGACCAGCCACACUGGAACUGAGACACGGUCCAGACUCCUACGGGAGGCAGCAGUGGGGAAUAUUGGACAAUGGGCGCAAGCCUGAUGCAGCCAUGCCGCGUGUAUGAAGAAGGCCUUCGGGUUGUAAAGUACUUUCAGCGGGGAGGCGUUACCCGCAGAAGAAGCACCGGCUAACUCCGUGCCAGCAGCCGCGGUAAUUC
rnacentral:rRNA from 1 species